rnacentral:tRNA from 1 species
AGGGAGCUAGUCCAAAACAAAGACCUCUGAUUUCGGCUCAGAAAAUCGUGACUGAAUCUCGCGGCCCCCUU